rnacentral:rRNA from 1 species
GACGAACGCUGGCGGCGUGCUUAACACAUGCAAGUCGAACGGUGAAGCGAGUGCUUGCACUCGUGGAUCAGUGGCGAACGGGUGAGUAACACGUGAGUAACCUGCCCAUCACUCUGGGAUAAGCACUGGAAACGGUGUCUAAUACUGGAUACGACCAACCCUUGCAUGGGGUGUUGGUGGAAAGAUUUAUCGGUGAUGGAUGGACUCGCGGCCUAUCAGCUUGUUGGCGGGGUAAUGGCCCACCAAGGCGACGACGGGUAGCCGGCCUGAGAGGGUGACCGGCCGCACUGGGACUGAGACACGGCCCAGACUCCUACGGGAGGCAGCAGUGAGGAAUAUUGCACAAUGGGCGAAAGCCUGAUGCAGCGACGCCGCGUGAGGGAUGACGGCCUUCGGGUUGUAAACCUCUUUCAGCAGGGAAGAAGCGAAAGUGACGGUACCUGCAGAAGAAGCACCGGCUAACUACGUG